rnacentral:rRNA from 1 species
AGUCUGGUGCCAGCAGCCGCGGUAAUUCCAGCUCCAAUAGCGUAUAUUAAAGUUGUUGCAGUUAAAAAGCUCGUAGUUGAAUUUCGGGAUCAAUAUGUCGGUCGUGCCUUCGGUACGUACUGGCAUCAUUGGUUUCUCCCUUCUGACAAACCAUGAUGUCAUUAAUUUGGUGUUAUGGGGAGUUAGGACUGUUACUUUGAAAAAAUUAGAGUGUUUAAAGCAGGCUUUAGCUUGAAAACAUUAGCAUGGAAUAAUGAAAUAGGACGUUUGACCCUAUUUUGUUGGUUUCUAGGAUCGACGUAAUGAUUAAUAGGGAUAGUUGGGGGCAUUAGUAUUCAAUUGUCAGAGGUGAAAUUCUUGGAUUUAUUGAAGACUAACUACUGCGAAAGCAUUUGCCAAGGAUGUUUUCAUUAAUCAAGAACGAAAGUUAGGGGAUCGAAGACGAUCAGAUACCGUCGUAGUCUUAACCAUAAACUAUGCCGACUAGGG